UGGCGGGUGGUCGUCGGAUGGCCGUGCCGCCUCCCGUGCGGCGCGGCCAUCCGACGACCGGGGCCAUGGUUCGUGGGCCGUGGGCCGUCGACC
rnacentral:tRNA from 1 species